UACGUAGGGGGCAAGCGUUGUCCGGAUUUAUUGGGCGUAAAGCGCGUGUAGGCGGCCAGGUAGGUCCGCUGUGAAAACCCGAGGCUCAACCUCGGGACGUCGGCGGAAACCAUUUGGCUAGAGUCCGGAAGAGGAGAGUGGAAUUCCCGGUGUAGCGGUGAAAUGCGCAGAUAUCAGGAAGAACACCCGUGGCUAAGGCGGCUCUCUAGUACGGUACUGACGCUGAGACGCGAAAGCGUGGGGAGCGAACAGG
rnacentral:rRNA from 1 species